GCUUAUUUCUAGGGGUUUCACAUUUAUUUCAAAUUCCAAACCUCCGUCUUCUCCGUUUUCUUCUGUUCCCAUCGCCGUGCACGCUGGAACUUCGGAUCGCCACCAUAUCGCCACACCAGUCCAUGUUUGAAAUCCCACUCACUUUCUCUCUCAGCAAAAGGCAGUCCCAAGACUCAAAUUUUGAAACCCCAUUCAUGUUUUUUGAUUUGCCUAACAUCUCUGAUUCUCUGGUUUUGAUAAGUAUUAUCAAAUAGCAAGGGAUGUUCGGGCCAACUUUUUUAUCCAAACAAAGGCAAACCAUCUACGGCGCCAGAACUAUGGUAUUCACAAUGAAUUACUUUCCUGUGGCUUGACUCCAAGAAAUCGAACCUUGAUCGAUAGAAGGUCCUAAACUACCUUAGUGGUGCUAGAGAGGGACCACUAAAUUUAUAUUUUGUUAGCAUCAUUAUAUCUGGUGGGUCCUUAUCGAUUUGCAUUUUUUCUCUACAUAUGAAAAAGUAAGAUGGCAGAAUCUAUGAUCAGAUUGACUGUAUUCAAGAACCAAUUUUAAAGAGAUUGAAUUUGUUACUUCACUAUAUAUAAAAUGAGUGAAUUUGUCAGGGUGCUGUGAAGAUCUUUGAUGCUGAUGGUGUACAUUUCUGCUCUAUAUUGAGUGUUUUUCUACUACUAAUUUGCUUCUCUAUGAUAUGAUGGUGUUUCUACCCAUAUUUGACGAAAUCCCAUCUCUCUAUUGGAAAUAUGUUUAUGUU